rnacentral:lncRNA from 1 species
AUGCCUCAACAUAUGUUAUACAUGAGGCGAAUAAUUACACACAUGCUGGCAGCCCGGUCCCCGGCAGUCCAUCGGGGGAGAGAAAGUGUCCGCGGCGGGGCACUCGGGCCACGGCAGCAGCUCCAGCACAUCAAAGCACGGAACUGUGACACAACCGGGGACCAUCUUCUUUGGGUUUAUUGGAGGGAGCGGGGGCUCGUCUCGACUGUUAGCUUGGCCUUACUCCCCUUCCUCGCCUUUUUUUCUCUGCGGUCCCGCUUGUUCCCUGGCUGUCCUCCCCGUCCGCACCGGUCCUGCCGUGCUUCGCCGCUUCGGAGCCGCCACGACGGCCGAGUGCUCCGCAUUUCUCUGGAGAGUGAGGGCUGCCCGGAGCCAGCACCCGGUACCGGCCCUCAGAACCAGCCUGUGACAGCCAGCACCCGGUACCGGCCCUCGGAACCAGCUCGUGACAGCCAGCCUGUGACAGCCAGCACCCGGUACCGGCCCUCGGAACCAGCCCGUGACAGCCAGCACCCGGUACCGAUCCGUGACAUCCAGCCCUCGGUACCAGCCCUCGGUACCGGCCCGCUGCCGUCGUUCGCCGGGGCCGCAGACGCGCUGCCGCCGCUGCUUGGAGGUCGUUCCCGGCCGCUCACAGGAGCCGGGGCCCGCCACGGCCCGNNNNNNNNNNNNNNNNNNNNCCCCGGGCUGUGGCGGCCUGCUCUCCGCCGAAGGAAGGGACACGGGGCCUGCAGCUGCUCAGGAGCGAGCCCCGGGCUGUGGCGGCCUGCUCUCCGCCGAAGGAAGGGACACGGGGCCUGCAGCUGCUCAGGAGUGAGCCCCGGGCUGUGGCGGCCUGCUCUCCGCCGAAGGAAGGGACACGGGGCCUGCAGGUGUUUGGAAAUGCGGUACCGGGAUCCACCCAGCACACACGCCCCGUCUGCCCAGCCGGCGCCCUUGCGUGAAGAGCAGGGAGGUUUCUUGAGAAGAAAGAACAAAAGAAACAAGUGGCAAAUAAAAGUGAUCAGCCACACAACUGUCUGGAAACAUACUAAUUCAUCUUUCUAUUUUUGA